CAAAAGAAACACUAAAAUCUGUCCAGAGACAGAAGUAGCGAAACUCUCAUCUCGAACACAUCGACUCAAUGUGAAGAACUGUGAAACGCCCAAAAUCCGUCUUCUAUAGCUAGGAAUCCCAAAUUGAAACCCAAAAUCGAUCCUCUCUAGCUAGAAAUCUGUCCAGAUAUAGAAAUCCCAAAUCGAAAUCCCUCAAAAAUCUCACCCCAAUCAAAAUCCCUCAAAUCAGAAUGUGAAUUCGAUUGUGUGUUUAUGAUACUUGCCGGAAACUUCAUUUUGAAGCUAAAUCUCAAUAUUGGAAGCUGGUUUGAUGAGUUUUUGUUUGAAUUUUUGAAUCAGAGUGUGCGAAGAAGAAGACCACUGCUGCGGAAGUCGAUUCAAAGCUUCUUCAACUUUGAGAAAAAGAAUGUGUUCAAGUCAAAAAUCACUGUCUGUCUCACAGUGCAGUGACUAGGUUCCGACCGAGUUUGAUAUUUCUCCGCAUAAGCCCUGUAAUUUUGCAAGGCUCCACUUGUGGGAUUAUACUGGAUUUUUUGUUGUUGUCCUGUAAUUUCGUAAGGAUCAGGGAGGCAGCUUAUUUCUAGUUGUUCAGGGACAGGGCACUUAGACAGUGGUAUCGUUCAAGGAUGGUGUGGAGCAAGGAGUAGUUACAAGGCACUUAAUAUUUUAUCUUUUUGGGAUAUGUAUAUGCGCACAAUUACAAUGCACAAUGAAGUGCUAGGUAGUAUAUAUAUGUAAUUGACUUUUUAGUAAUGAUAAUAUUUAUAAUAUUCGGCUUGAGAAAUUCUUUUGGUGUU